UGGCGGCGUGCCUAAUACAUGCAAGUCGAACGAGUUCUCGUUGAUGAUCGGUGCUUGCACCGAGAUUCAACAUGGAACGAGUGGCGGACGGGUGAGUAACACGUGGGUAACCUGCCCUUAAGUGGGGGAUAACAUUUGGAAACAGAUGCUAAUACCGCAUAGAUCCAAGAACCGCAUGGUUCUUGGCUGAAAGAUGGCGUAAGCUAUCGCUUUUGGAUGGACCCGCGGCGUAUUAGCUAGUUGGUGAGGUAAUGGCUCACCAAGGCGAUGAUACGUAGCCGAACUGAGAGGUUGAUCGGCCACAUUGGGACUGAGACACGGCCCAAACUCCUACGGGAGGCAGCAGUAGGGAAUCUUCCACAAUGGACGCAAGUCUGAUGGAGCAACGCCGCGUGAGUGAAGAAGGCUUUCGGGUCGUAAAACUCUGUUGUUGGAGAAGAAUGGUCGGCAGAGUAACUGUUGUCGGCGUGACGGUAUCCAACCAGAAAGCCACGGCUAACUACGUGCCAGCAGCCGCGGUAAUACGUAGGUGGCAAGCGUUAUCCGGAUUUAUUGGGCGUAAAGCGAGCGCAGGCGGUUUUUUAAGUCUGAUGUGAAAGCCCUCGGCUUAACCGAGGAAGCGCAUCGGAAACUGGGAAACUUGAGUGCAGAAGAGGACAGUGGAACUCCAUGUGUAGCGGUGAAAUGCGUAGAUAUAUGGAAGAACACCAGUGGCGAAGGCGGCUGUCUGGUCUGUAACUGACGCUGAGGCUCGAAAGCAUGGGUAGCGAACAGGAUUAGAUACCCUGGUAGUCCAUGCCGUAAACGAUGAAUGCUAGGUGUUGGAGGGUUUCCGCCCUUCAGUGCCGCAGCUAACGCAUUAAGCAUUCCGCCUGGGGAGUACGACCGCAAGGUUGAAACUCAAAGGAAUUGACGGGGGCCCGCACAAGCGGUGGAGCAUGUGGUUUAAUUCGAAGCAACGCGAAGAACCUUACCAGGUCUUGACAUCUUUUGAUCACCUGAGAGAUCAGGUUUCCCCUUCGGGGGCAAAAUGACAGGUGGUGCAUGGUUGUCGUCAGCUCGUGUCGUGAGAUGUUGGGUUAAGUCCCGCAACGAGCGCAACCCUUAUGACUAGUUGCCAGCAUUUAGUUGGGCACUCUAGUAAGACUGCCGGUGACAAACCGGAGGAAGGUGGGGAUGACGUCAAAUCAUCAUGCCCCUUAUGACCUGGGCUACACACGUGCUACAAUGGAUGGUACAACGAGUUGCGAGACCGCGAGGUCAAGCUAAUCUCUUAAAGCCAUUCUCAGUUCGGACUGUAGGCUGCAACUCGCCUACACGAAGUCGGAAUCGCUAGUAAUCGCGGAUCAGCACGCCGCGGUGAAUACGUUCCCGGGCCUUGUACACACCGCCCGUCACACCAUGAGAGUUUGUAACACCCGAAGCCGGUGGCGUAACCCUUUAGGGAGCGA
rnacentral:rRNA from 1 species